CCUACGGGAGGCAGCAGUAGGGAAUCUUCCACAAUGGGCGAAAGCCUGAUGGAGCAACGCCGCGUGGGUGAAGAAGGUCUUCGGAUCGUAAAACCCUGUUGUUAGAGAAGAAAGUGCGUGAGAGUAACUGUUCACGUUUCGACGGUAUCUAACCAGAAAGCCACGGCUAACUACGUGCCAGCAGCCGCGGUAAUACGUAGGUGGCAAGCGUUAUCCGGAUUUAUUGGGCGUAAAGGGAACGCAGGCGGUCUUUUAAGCCUGAUGUGAAAGCCAUCGGCUUAACCGGAGUAGUGCAUUGGAAACUGGGAAACUUGAGUGCAGAAGAGGAUAGUGGAACUCCAUGUGUAGCGGUGAAAUGCGUAGAUAUAUGGAAGAACACCAGUGGCGAAGGCGGCUCUCUGGUCUGUAACUGACGCUGAGGUUCGAAAGCGUGGGUAGCAAACAGGAUUAGAUACCCCAGUAGUC
rnacentral:rRNA from 1 species